rnacentral:rRNA from 1 species
GAUGAACGCUGGCGGCGUGCCUAAUACAUGCAAGUCGAGCGAACGGACGAGAAGCUUGCUUCUCUGAUGUUAGCGGCGGACGGGUGAGUAACACGUGGAUAACCUACCUAUAAGACUGGGAUAACUUCGGGAAACCGGAGCUAAUACCGGAUAAUAUUUUGAACCGCAUGGUUCAAAAGUGAAAGACGGUCUUGCUGUCACUUAUAGAUGGAUCCGCGCUGCAUUAGCUAGUUGGUAAGGUAACGGCUUACCAAGGCAACGAUGCAUAGCCGACGUGAGAGGGUGAUCGGCCACACUGGAACUGAGACACGGUCCAGACUCCUACGAGAGGCAGCAGUAGGGAAUCUUCCGCAAUGGGCGAAAGCAUGACGGAGCAACGCCGCGUGAGUGAUGAAGGUCUUCGGAGCGUAAAACUCUGUUAUUAGGGAAGAACAUAUGUGUAAGUAACUGUGCACAUCUUGACGGUACCUAAUCAGAAAGCCACGGCUAACUACGUG